GUGUCAGCAGCCGUGGUAACACCCGCAGCUCGAGUGGUGGUCACUUUUAUUGAGCCUAAAGCGUUCGUAGCCGGUCCUGUAAAUCUUCAGGAAAAUUCUUCCGCUCAACGGAAGAUCCUCUGAAGAGACUGCAGGACUAGGGACCGGGUGGGGUUGGAUGUACUUCUGGGGUAGGGGUAAAACCCUGUAAUCCUGGAAGGACAACCGGUGGCGAAAGCGUCCAACUGGAACGGAUCCGACGGUGAGGAACGAGGGCUAGGGGAGCAAACCGGAUUAGAAACCCCUGUAGUCC
rnacentral:rRNA from 1 species